UACAGAGGUGGCAAGCGUUGUUCGGAAUUACUGGGCGUAAAGGGCGCGUAGGCGGCCCACUAAGUCAGACGUGAAAUCCCCCGGCUUAACCUGGGAACUGCGUCUGAUACUGGAGGGCUUGAGUAUGGGAGAGGGAUGUAGAAUUCCAGGUGUAGCGGUGAAAUGCGUAGAUAUCUGGAGGAAUACCUGAGGUGAAGACGGGUUGCUGGGCCGACACUGACGCUGAAGCGCGAAAGCCAGGGGAGCAAACGGG
rnacentral:rRNA from 1 species